rnacentral:lncRNA from 1 species
AUGCUGGGCUAAGACAAGGGGCAGAGGCAGAGAGAGAGAGAGGAGCCACCCUGAGAAGGAAGAGACCAGGUGGGCUCUGAGACAGGGAGACCCUUUCUACGUCGGUGCCUUGACAUGUGACUUUUUUGUCACUUCGUGCUCCAGGAUCACACCUGGAUGAACUAUCACUUUCAAAUGACCUUGUCUUUUCUCGGGCCUUCUGAACUGAUCAUCUCUUCCUUCUGAUACAAGAGGAUCUUCCCUGGAAGACCACUGCACACCUUCUAGUAACACUGCGACCCUGGAUAAUAUUCUACUUUGAAGAACACCAGUAGACCGAAGCAAGAUGACUAAUUUUUAAUGCCAAAGUAUGCAAAACCUGCCACUUCACUGGCAAGCCAUGAAUUAUUCAUAAAUAUAGACUUGGUUAAUAUCUUUAAAAAUGCA